CUCUUGCGAAACAGAUCUUUAGGCUCUAGCGGCUCACAUCCACGGUCCACCCACCCUAUCUCUGGCCACCGAAGCCCAUCCUCUCCCCCGCCGGCGAAACACUCCCACUGCCCCAGCCGAACACAGUCCCAAUCUCGACACCCAAAGGAGCACACCAACGCGAGAGGCCGGAUUGAGCCCAUCCCCUCCGCCAUGGUCAACGGCCCGCCGCCCAUGAUGGCACUGACGCCCCCCAAUUUCCCAUGCUAACGCGUGCGAGGCGGCGCCAUUGGAUCGAUGGCGCGCGUGCGCCCUAAUGGUAGGGCGGCGUGCAGGAGGUCCCCCUUCUCCUCUCUCCCCCUGCGCGCGCUGGAGCUUGAGCUGGGCGGGACGCUGAGCGGGAGUUCUUGCUGGCAGAGGAAGAAGACGUUCAGGUAGAAGGCGUGGACGUUGGGGAGUAGCUGUGUGGGAGGAGGGCGUCAACGGUGGGAUGGGUGCUGGCUGGCUGGUACUUGCUUUAUGAUAUGAAGAUAUGUAUGCUGCUGGUAGGUACUCGUGAACAUGGUGAAAAGGGAUCGGUGCUGCAGCGGUAGGCGUCUGGUGGCUAUGCAGUGGCAGCCGCUACUUAGAUACGUAGCCGGCAAUGGUGAGAAGACUUUGAUCUUGAUAUAUUAGAUGUAAGCCCCAUACACCAUAGGAGGACCGCCUUUUGGUGAUAUCAGCCGGUGAGCUUUCUCCAUCUCCACCAUCUAACAUACAUUGGUUCUGCAUUAUGUAUAUGUGGCUUAGAUAAGAAAUGAAUGUUUCUAUCUGAAUAUUAUCCAGUUACUCUUUCUUUGCCUAAAUUGAUUUAGGAGAAGAGAUAGAGAGAAGCAAGUUACUGGUGUGGUUCAUUUGGGAAAUUCAGUACUUUGUUUAUACUGCUUUGCUUUAGGGGAUGAAGUAAAUAGAAGAAGAAAUUCCUGGGAUGGAUCUAUAUGUGCCCGUUAUGCUGUCAUGUAAAUUCCACAACACAUCUGUAUGCGUGUAUCCUUCUUAUGUAGUUUUUAUUACCCACUUAUAGUCAUGCUUGACAGCCCGAGGGCUGAGGCUAACAAUUCUUUUCGUCUCUAUGCCCCUUAUUUCAAUGCAUUGUGCUACUGUAUACUACUGUUAUAAUGACAUGUGCAUUUAGUAAAAUCCCUUAAUUAUGGCAGCAUGUAAAAAAUUAAAUGUUUCCUGAGUGUGGACUGUGGUAUAGAUUCAUGCAAGUUCUGCAACCUGCAUGUACUGAAUUACAUGAUAAUUCUGUAGGAUGAUAAAAAAGAAGAAGAAGAUGAUUCUGAAUUACAUAAUAAUUCUGUAGGAUGAUAAAAAAGAAGAAGAAGAUGAUUCAGUUAUCAAGAGGAUGUCUGAACUCUGAACCUGAAGGACAGGAAAUAAAACAUGAGGAGGAUAAUGGAAGAGAAGAAGAAGCAGACAUUAAGAUAAUGAAAGAGAAUGAGUAGAUAAUGAGGAUGGUACUGAAAGAGAAGACGAGAUGCACCUUGGCUAAGUAAAGAGUUAGACCUGAAAUUGCCAAUAAAGGGAAUGAGGUCCCUUUCUCUAUAGAAUAUAGAAGGCAGCUUCGCAGAGGGGUCACUGACGAGCAAGAGAAAUAAGCCCUGGAGCAUGUUUCAAUGAAGACUACUGAUCUAGAAUUGCCGUAUGUUCAUGAACAAUUUUUUGUUGCUGAAAUAAGUCCUAGAGCAGGCUUCGGUGAGGACUACUGAUCUAGAAGCCAUAUGUUCAUGAACAAUUUUUUGUUGCUCUGACUGAACGGACUGUCUCUGUAAUUCUUGUCUGUUUGGGUGGUCCCCAGCUGCGACAAGAUGUCUUCUUGCUGAACAACGCCACAAUUGGAUAGUUGUAUGUUAUUUAGGAUUGCCUCUGUUGCAUACCACCUGGAGUUACAAGAGGUCCUGUACUAAUUUUGUGUAUGUAUCUGUUCUAUAUACACAUGAUUUCAAAGCAUCUUUUCCUAUACAUUUUGUUUCUUUGCUCGGUACAAAAUGUAUUGCAAGUGUUGUUCAUUGUUUUUUUCCUUUUAUGUAAAUAUACUACAGAGCCUCUACCGGCUCAGUUUUCUUCCUUUUGUCUGAAUAUAUCAGACAUUUAUGUAUGAUGUAGUGAUUGUCUGA